rnacentral:sRNA from 1 species
UGCUCAGCGAUCCCCGCUCCGGGGAGCCUCUGGACCGCGCACUGGUGCUCUGGUUCCCAGGUCCCCAGAGUUUCACCGGUGAGGACUGCGUGGAGUUCCACGUUCAUGGAGGCCCGGCAGUGGUGAGCGGCGUCCUGCAGGCCUUGGGCAGCGUGCCAGGGCUUCGACCGGCGGAGGCAGGCGAGUUCACCAGACGGGCGUUCGCCAAUGGGAAGCUGAACCUGACCGAAGUGGAGGGGCUGGCGGACCUUAUCCACGCGGAAACAGAGGCGCAGCGGCGGCAGGCCCUCAGGCAGCUGGACGGAGAGCUAGGCCACCUCUGCCGUGGCUGGGCCGAGACCCUCACCAAAGCUCUGGCCCACGUGGAGGCCUAUAUCGAUUUCGGCGAGGAUGACAACCUGGAGGAGGGGGUCCUGGAGCAAGGUGGGUCUACCUGGUGGUGGGGGAGGAAGACACCUCAUAUCAGCCCUCAAAGGCUCCCCUCACUGUCUCUCUCUGCCUGCCUUCUGUCACCCACAGCCGACAUCAAAGUACGGGCACU